CAGUCGCCGCGGUAAUACGGAGGGUGCAAGCGUUAUCCGGAUUUAUUGGGUUUAAAGGGUCCGUAGGCGGAUCUGUAAGUCAGUGGUGAAAUCUCACAGCUUAACUGUGAAACUGCCAUUGAUACUGCAGGUCUUGAGUAAAUUUGAAGUGGCUGGAAUAAGUAGUGUAGCGGUGAAAUGCAUAGAUAUUACUUAGAACACCAAUUGCGAAGGCAGGUCACUAAGAUUUAAAUGACGCUGAUGGACGAAAGCGUGGGGAGCGAACAGGAUUAGAUACCCCUGUAGUCCUGUCUCUUAUACA
rnacentral:rRNA from 1 species